GUCCCUACGGGAGGCAGCAGUGGGGAAUAUUGCACAAUGGGGGGAACCCUGAUGCAGCGACGCCGCGUGGGUGAAGGAGUAUUUCGGUAUGUAAAGCCCUAUCAGCAGGGAAGAACAAUGACGGUACCUGACUAAGAAGCACCGGCUAAAUACGUGCCAGCAGCCGCGGUAAUACGUAGGGGGCAGGCGUUAUCCGGAUUUACUGGGUGUAAAGGGAUCGUAGACGGCCAGACAAGUCUGAAGUGAAAAUCCAGCGCUUAACGUUGGAAGUGCUUUGGAAACUGCCGGGCUAGAGUGCAGGAGGG
rnacentral:rRNA from 1 species